ACUUUCAACAACGGAUCUCUUGGUUCUGGCAUCGAUGAAGAACGCAGCAAAAUGCGAUAAGUAAUGUGAAUUGCAGAAUUCAGUGAAUCAUCGAAUCUUUGAACGCACAUUGCGCCCGCCAGUAUUCUGGCGGGCAUGCCUGUUCGAGCGUCAUUUCAACCCUCAAGCACAGCUUGGUGUUGGGACUCGCGUUAAUUCGCGUUCCUCAAAUUGAUUGGCGGUCACGUCGAGCUUCCAUAGCGUAGUAGUAAAACCCUCGUUACUGGUAAUCGUCGCGGCCACGCCGUUAAACCCCAACUUCUGAAUGUUGACCUCGGAUCAGGUAGGAAUACCCGCUGAACUUAAGCAUAUCAAUAAGCGGAGGAAAAGAAACCAACAGGGAUUGCCCUAGUAACGGCGAGUGAAGCGGCAACAGCUCAAAUUUGAAAUCUGGCUCUCGGGCCCGAGUUGUAAUUUGUAGAGGAUACUUUUGAUGCGGUGCCUUCCGAGUUCCCUGGAACGGGACGCCAUAGAGGGUGAGAGCCCCGUCUGGUUGGAUGCCAAAUCUCUGUAAAGUUCCUUCAACGAGUCGAGUAGUUUGGGAAUGCUGCUCUAAAUGGGAGGUAUAUGUCUUCUAAAGCUAAAUACCGGCCAGAGACCGAUAGCGCACAAGUAGAGUGAUCGAAAGAUGAAAAGCACUUUGAAAAGAGAGUUAAAAAGUACGUGAAAUUGUUGAAAGGGAAGCGUUUAUGACCAGACUUGGGCUUGGUUAAUCAUCUGGGGUUCUCCCCAGUGCACUUUUCCAGUCCAGGCCAGCAUCAGUUUUCCCCGGGGGAUAAAGGCGGCGGGAAUGUGGCUCUCUUCGGGGAGUGUUAUAGCCCACCGUGUAAUACCCUGGGGGGGACUGAGGUUCGCGCAUCUGCAAGGAUGCUGGCGUAAUGGUCAUCAACGACCCGUCUUGAAACACGGACCAAGGAGUCGUCUUCGUAUGCGAGUGUUCGGGUGUCAAACCCCUACGCGUAAUGAAAGUGAACGCAGGUGAGAGCUUCGGCGCAUCAUCGACCGAUCCUGAUGUUCUCGGAUGGAUUUGAGUAAGAGCAUACGGGGCCGGACCCGAAAGAAGGUGAACUAUGCCUGUAUAGGGUGAAGCCAGAGGAAACUCUGGUGGAGGCUCGCAGCGGUUCUGACGUGCAAAUCGAUCGUCAAAUAUGGGCAUGGGGGCGAAAGACUAAUCGAACCUUCUAGUAGCUGGUUUCCGCCGAAGUUUCCCUCAGGAUAGCAGUGUUGAACUCAGUUUUAUGAGGUAAAGCGAAUGAUUAGGGACUCGGGGGCGCUAUUUAGCCUUCAUCCAUUCUCAAACUUUAAAUAUGUAAGAAGCUCUUGUUGCUUAAUUGAACGUGAGCAUUCGAAUGUAUCAACACUAGUGGGCCAUUUUUGGUAAGCAGAACUGGCGAUGCGGGAUGAACCGAACGCGAGGUUAAGGUGCCAGAGUAGACGCUCAUCAGACACCACAAAAGGUGUUAGUACAUCUUGACAGCAGGACGGUGGCCAUGGAAGUCGGAAUCCGCUAAGGACUGUGUAACAACUCACCUGCCGAAUGUACUAGCCCUGAAAAUGGAUGGCGCUCAAGCGUCUCACCCAUACCUCGCCCUCAGGGUAGAAACGAUGCCCUGAGGAGUAGGCGGACGUGGAGGUCAGUGACGAAGCCUAGGGCGUGAGCCCGGGUUGAACGGCCUCUAGUGCAGAUCUUGGUGGUAGUAGCAAAUACUUCAAUGAGAACUUGAAGGACCGAAGUGGGGAAAGGUUCCAUGUGAACAGCGGUUGGACAUGGGUUAGUCGAUCCUAAGCCAUAGGGAAGUUCCGUUUCAAAGGUGCACUUUGCACCGUCUGGCGAAAGGGAAGCCGGUCAAUAUUCCGGCACCUGGAUGUGGGUUUUGCGCGGCAACGCAACUGAACGUGGAGACGACGGCGGGGGCCCCGGGCAGAGUUCUCUUUUCUUCUUAACAGUCUCUCACCCUGAAAUCGGUUUGUCCGGAGCUAGGGUUUAAUGGCUGGAAGAGCCCAGCACCUCUGCUGGGUCCGGUGCGCUCUCGACGUCCCUUGAAAAUCCACGGG
rnacentral:rRNA from 1 species